rnacentral:lncRNA from 1 species
UGAAACCCUUUUAAGCCUAGAUCACCUUAAUGAUUACAAUCAAAUGAUAUAAAAUAAAUGCAGAAUUAGUAGAAUACCUCAAACGCUAAUCCAAAGUGUACAAUCUCCACGAGGCGUCCAAGUGUCCGCCCUCCAAUGGUGAUCCACAUGAAAACUUGAUCAAGACUUUAGCUCCAAAGACUUUUGAUCCUUAAUGCAGAAUUCUUCUAAAGAACUCUAAUGACUUGCUUUCCUUCCUUUCUAUUUUUCUUUAGCCUUCUAAAAUCACUUCUAAUCCUUUUGUCCUAAAGAAGACCACCUUGUCUUGG